rnacentral:rRNA from 1 species
CGGCGGACGGGUGAGUAACACGUGGAUAACCUACCUAUAUGACUGGGAUAACUUCGGGAAACCGGGGCUAAUACCGGAUAACACAUGAAACCGCAUGGUUUCAUGAUGAAAGACGGUUUUGCUGUCACUUAUAGAUGGACCCGCGGCGUAUUAGCUAGUUGGUAAGGUAACGGCUUACCAAGGCAACGAUACGUAGCCGACCUGAGAGGGUGAUCGGCCACACUGGAACUGAGACACGGUCCAG